rnacentral:rRNA from 1 species
ACCAGACUCCUACGGGAGGCAGCAGUGGGGAAUAUUGCACAAUGGGGGGAACCCUGAUGCAGCGACGCCGCGUGAGUGAAGAAGUAUUUCGGUAUGUAAAGCUCUCUCAGCAGGGAAGAAAAUGACGGUACCUGACUAAGAAGCCCCGGCUAACUACGUGCCAGCAGCCGCGGUAAUACGUAGGGGGCAAGCGUUAUCCGGAUUUACUGGGUGUAAAGGGAGCGCAGACGGCUGUGCAAGUCUGGAGUGAAAGGCGGGGGCCCAACCCCCGGACUGCUCUGGAAACUGUAAAGCUGGAGUGCAGGAGAGGUAAGCGGAAUUCCUAGUGUAGCGGUGAAAUGCGUAGAUAUUAGGAGGAACACCAGUGGCGAAGGCGGCUUACUGGACUGCAGCUGACGUUGAGGCUCGAAAGCGUGGGGAGCAAACAGGAUUAGAUACCCUGGUA